UACGAAGGGGGCUAGCGUUGCUCGGAAUCACUGGGCGUAAAGGGUGCGUAGGCGGGUCUUUAAGUCAGGGGUGAAAUCCUGGAGCUCAACUCCAGAACUGCCUUUGAUACUGAAGAUCUUGAGUUCGGGAGGGGAGAGCGGAAUUCCUAGUGUAGCGGUGAAAUGCGCAGAUAUUAGGAAGAACACCGGUGGCGAAGGCGGCUCUCUGGCCCGGUACUGACGCUGAGGUGCGAAAGCGUGGGGAGCAAACAGG
rnacentral:rRNA from 1 species